rnacentral:rRNA from 1 species
CCUACGGGAGGCAGCAGUGGGGAAUUUUGGACAAUGGGCGCAAGCCUGAUCCAGCAAUGCCGCGUGAGUGAAGAAGGCCUUCGGGUUGUAAAGCUCUUUUGUCAGGGAAGAAACGAUGAGGGCUAAUAUCCCUUGCUAAUGACGGUACCUGAAGAAUAAGCACCGGCUAACUACGUGCCAGCAGCCGCGGUAAUACGUAGGGUGCAAGCGUUAAUCGGAAUUACUGGGCGUAAAGCGUGCGCAGGCGGUUUUGUAAGUCUGUCGUGAAAUCCCCGGGUCUCAACCUGGGAAUUGCGAUGGAGACUGCAAGGCUAGAAUCUGGCAGAGGGGGGGUUAGAAUUCCACGUGUAGCAGUGAAAUGCGUAGAGAUGUGGAGGAACACCGAUGGCGAAGGCAGCCCCCUGGGUCAAGAUUGACGCUCAUGCACGAAAGCGUGGGGAGCAAACAGGAUUAGAUACCCGUGGUAGUCCACGCCCUAAACGAUGUCUACUAGUUGUCGGGUUUUAAAUUAACGUUAGGUAACCGCAGCUAACGCGUGAAGUAGACCGCCUGGGGAGUACGGUCGCAAGAUUAAAACCGUUAAAGGAAUUGACGG